rnacentral:rRNA from 18 species
UCUGGCGGCAAUGGCGAGAAGGUCACACCCGUUCCCAUCCCGAACACGGAAGUUAAGCUUCUCAGCGCCGAUGGUAGUUGGGACGUAAGUCCCUGUGAGAGUAGGACGCUGCCAGGC